rnacentral:lncRNA from 1 species
AUGUGUUGGUCCUGUUUCUGGGAUGUCCCCCUCAGUCCUGGGCUUUUGAAUCAUCCCCCUGUCCCCUCCUCCACUGAGCAGGUUGGGAGAAAUCAAGGCCCAGAUCCUACUACAGGGUUGGGAUCUCCUGAGCAGGGUUGGAGCCUCAUUGAACAGUUGCUGCCAAAAUUGCCUGGAAGAGCGGACAGGGGUUCGUGCGCACAGAGGCACGCUGGACCUCAGAAACCUGAAGAUGCCAGACGCUUUCUCUGCCUGCAAACAACAGGCUCCCAAGAAACUCUAGAAUCACACCUCCUCCUUCCCCAGUGUGUGUGGGGGAAUGUCAAUUCCACCUUCUCCUCCCACGGGAAACUGCUUACCAGGUCAGCUCUUGGGAAUGACUCCCUAAUCAUAAAGGGCUGACCCGGCCUGCCUUCACCCCAGUUUCUGCUUCCAAUGCUUUUCAGACCUGCUGCUCUGAGAGGCACUUCUGGGGAGGCACACGUUUGUGCCCGUGCACGCUGUGGUGGUACAGGCACAAGAAGGGAAGCACUGGCAGCUGGUACUUGCUGAACUGGAGCAUUUACAGACACUGCAAGUGAAGUCCCCCCAGCGAACUGAGAAGGUUGCCUCUGCUUCCACCCUCAUCUUCUCAUCCUUCUGCAAAGGCUCUUGGACUUACACUGAUCCUUCCAUCCAUGAGGGGGAGAAAACCCCACAGGAUGUUCUCAACCUCAGUUCAUGUUCUUUCAAGGCAACCAGACCUCAAAGAGUUUCUAAAAGACUGAGGCAGAUUGUCCCAAAGUACAAGCGGGAUCUCACAUUAAAAACACAUGAUGCUACUCCACUUUCACGAGUCUCUCUGAACGGCAAUCAGACUUUCAGGAGAGCCUGAUGAGAAGAGGGAAUACAAACUGGGGUCUGCAAACCAGUGUCAACUGCGAUGGUCUCCUAUGGUCAAGCCUCAGCCCGCAGAUCUGCUGCUGUAGGACCGGCCUAAGGAAUGCACACCUGAGCCUAUGUUCUUUUAUGACCAAAACCCCAGGAGCUGUGUCAGUGACACUGUCGAGGGCCAGCGGGUGAACAGAUCCCAUUUCUGCUCUUGGUGCCUCGGGCGCAGCAUCAUUCAAUGAAAGUGCCAGAAUUAAGACAUGGGUCAUAUCAUUGUCUCGGUUGUAAGGAAUACAGAGAGAAUUCAUUGAGAUAGACAGACUGGGGCAGAAGAAUGUGGGGAGGACAAAAUGAGUUGGUAGAAAUUUCAAGCCACCUUGGCAGAGUUUACAGAUCACUUUCUCGCUGUGAGGAGCUAGAUGCACUGGAGGGUUAAUAGGUAGAAAUCUUCCAUUUUUCCACUAUUAGUGAAUAAAGAGUUCCCUGACAUGAGGAGUUUAUAUAUU